UUUUCAAUUCAAUUCUAAGAAUUCUUCAAACGAUCCACAUAUUACAUCGCAGUUACGUAAUUCUCAACAAAUGUAUCCAAUAAAUCAACGACUAACGACCAAAUUGCUUAUAAAAAGACAUAUAAGUACAUAGGUGUGAUCAGACAAAUAUCAAGGAAUAUCCAGCUAGACAUUUGUUGAAGUUGAACAAACAUGUUGGUCUUCGCUAAAGGCAACAGCGGUAGUGGUCCGAUUUUAAUUCCCGUAAUCCUAUAAGCCUUCUAACGUGAUUUCACGCUUUCAGAUCUCACGUGAGUUUCGUUACGGUGUAGUUUCAACAGACAAGUCAAGCGGACAAGUUUUAUUAUUUACUAAAUAAUCUAUUCUUUUAAAAAAAUCAUUUUUCAAUUAUCUACGCUCUUUUUAUCAUACAUAGUAAAAAUGUAUACCGUAU
rnacentral:misc_RNA from 1 species